rnacentral:rRNA from 1 species
AGAGUUUGAUCCUGGCUCAGAGUGAACGCUGGCGGCGUAGAUUAGGCAUGCAAGUCGAGCGAUAUCYUUUUYUUGAGAUGUUGAGACCGCAAGGUGGAUAUGUCAAGAGAAGAGGAAUAUAGCGGCAGACUGGUGAGUAAUGCGCGAGUAAUUUACCUCUAAGUCGGGRAUAGCCUUGCGAAAGYGAGAGUAAUACCCGAUGUGUUUACGRYUGYAUAAGCAGYUGUAAGUAAAGGAGGCCCGCAAGGGUUUUUGUUUAGAGAUGAGCUCGCGUCCUAUCAGCUAGYUGGUGGGGUAACGGCCUACCAAGGCKUUUGACGGGUAGCUGGCCUGAGAGGGUGGUCAGCCACAUGGGGACUGAGACACUGCCCCAACUCCUACGGGAGGCUGCAGUCGAGGAUAUUUAGCAAUGGACGAAAGUCUGACUAUGUGACGCCGCGUGAGGGAUGAAGGUCUUCGGAUUGUAAACCUCUUUCGAUGGGGAAGAAAACCUGCUUUAAUACAGCAGACUGACGGUACCCAGAGAAGAAGCCACGGCCAACUCUGUGCCAGCAGCCGCGGUAAUACAGAGGUGGCGAGCGUUACUCGGAUUUAUUGGGUGUAAAGGGCAAGUAGGCGUCUUAACAAGUUAGAAGUGAAAUCCUGCAGCUCAACUGCAGAACUGCUUUUAAAACUGUUGAGAUUGAGUYUGGGAGAGGAAAGCGGAAUUCUCGGUGUAAGAGUGAAAUCUGUAGAUAUCGAGAGGAACACCAGUGGCGAAGGCGGCUUUCUGGYCCAGUACUGACGCUGAAUUGCGAAAGCUAGGGGAGCARACAGGAUUAGAUACCCUGGUAGUCC